CCUACGGGUGGCAGCAGUGAGGAAUAUUGGUCAAUGGGCGAGAGCCUGAACCAGCCAAGUCGCGUGAAGGAUGAAGGAUCUAUGGUUUGUAAACUUCUUUUAUAUGGGAAUAAAGUGAGGAACGUGUUCCUUUUUGUAUGUACCAUAUGAAUAAGCAUCGGCUAACUCCGUGCCAGCAGCCGCGGUAAUACGGAGGAUGCGAGCGUUAUCCGGAUUGAUUGGGUUUAAAGGGUGCGUAGGUGGUUAAUUAAGUCAGCGGUGAAAGUUUGUGGCUCAACCAUAAAAUUGCCGUUGAAACUGGUUGACUUGAGUAUAUGUGAGGUAGCCGGAAUGCGUGGUGUAGCAGUGAAAUGCAUAGAUAUCACGCAGAACUCCGAUGGCGAAGGCAGCUUACUAAACUAUAACUGACACUGAAGCACGAAAGCGUGGGGAUCAAAAAGGAUUAGAUACCCUGGUAGUC
rnacentral:rRNA from 1 species